UGGGGAAUAUUGCACAAUGGGCGCAAGCCUGAUGCAGCAACGCCGCGUGAGGGACGACGGCCUUCGGGUUGUAAACCUCUUUUAGUAGGGAAGAAGCGAAAGUGACGGUACCUGCAGAAAAAGCACCGGCUAACUACGUGCCAGCAGCCGCGGUAAUACGUAGGGUGCGAGCGUUGUCCGGAAUUAUUGGGCGUAAAGAGCUCGUAGGCGGUCUGUCGCGUCUGCUGUGAAAACCCGAGGCUCAACCUCGGGCCUGCAGUGGGUACGGGCAGACUAGAGUGCGGUAGGGGAGAAUGGAAUUCCUGGUGUAGCGGUGGAAUGCGCAGAUAUCAGGAGGAACACCGAUGGCGAAGGCAGUUCUCUGGGCCGUAACUGACGCUGAGGAGCGAAAGCGUGGGGAGCGAACAGGAUUAGAUACCCUGGUAGUCCACGCCGUAAACGUUGGGCGCUAGAUGUGGGGACCAUUCCACGGUUUCCGUGUCGCAGCUAACGCAUUAAGCGCCCCGCCUGGGGAGUACGGCCGCAAGGCUAAAACUCAAAGGAAUUG
rnacentral:rRNA from 1 species